AUUUUUAUUCAUUCUAUUCUGUUCUAUUCUAUUGUCUUCUCCUCUUUUCUUCUCUUCAUGUUUUUUAUGCUCUGUUUCUCUUCUUCGUGUACAGACUCUGAACUCAGUUCUUUCCUGGCGUCGUCUACGGACACAACCACUGAUGACAGAUGGAUGGAGGUGUGUCGUAGACACUACUGCAGAGUCCUGAGCACCGACCCAGACAUGUUAACAGGAACGGUGCUGUGUGAACUUCUGCAGAAGGUUGUGACCCAUUUAUCCAGCUCUGCCACCGAGCGCUUCUUCUCCCAGGCUCCGUCCAAAGCGGAGGAGCAGAGUGUGCAGAACGUGGUGUUAUCAUCGGUGGAACAUCUGGG
rnacentral:lncRNA from 1 species